UACGUAGGGGGCAAGCGUUGUUCGGAAUUACUGGGCGUAAAGGGCGCGUAGGCGGCAUGACAAGUCGGGAGUGAAAGCCCGGGGCUCAACCCCGGAAUGUCUUUCGAAACUGUCAAGCUAGAGUGCGGAAGAGGCAACUGGAAUUCCCAGUGUAGCGGUGAAAUGCGUAGAUAUUGGGAAGAACACCGGAGGCGAAGGCGGGUUGCUGGGCCGACACUGACGCUGAGGCGCGAAAGCCAGGGGAGCAAACGGG
rnacentral:rRNA from 1 species